rnacentral:misc_RNA from 1 species
GGCUUGAAAGCAAAUUAGAGGGAGAAUAGAUGAUCUCCAAGGAAUUAACUGAGGAUGACCCAAACCUCCCAGCCCAAACAAAAAAUAAAAAGAAAUUGCCAGGUACACAAAGUCACCAUGCACCAAGUACCAUGACCAUUUGCCUCCUAACAACUGCCUAAAAGAUGCAACACAAUGCAGUAUGAAUGCUAAACUAAAUAAAGACAAGCCCAAAAUCCUAAAAAUGGUUGGACACUUAAAAUCCACGGUCAAUUAUUACAUUGAAAGAGGUUGCAUUUGGCAAGAAUAAUAUUCUUUCAAAGCACACUAAGGAACUUUGCUUAAACUAGGAGAGAAGUUGCAAAUUACCCAUCAAGUUCCACUAGGAGU